GAUAUCUUGGGCUCCUGCCAAAGCACCUUGAAGAUAAGGAAUGAGAUUUUGAACUAGUCACGACAGACCAAACAAAAUCUGAUUCUCACAGGCUUUCAAAAGAGAAACAUUACAGAAGUUUUUCUCUUCAGUAAAAAAUGCGUGUGUUUGAAAAGUGUCAGGUGAACUUGUGACCCAGUCCUAAUUCAGGGGGAACUCUGAAAUGGAUCGUUCAGGCUGCCAGUGGUUAAAGGACAAACCUGUAGCUGUGCUGCUAAUCUGCGUUACGCAGGUGAGCAUGUCCAUCUCCCCUGCUGGCUCAAGACCCAUAUGGUGCUUGCUGAAUAGUCAUGUAAACCAGCUGAAUGUUAAAGCCACGCUAAAAUACCAACGGUAACAUCAAACUUCCUGAUUUGUCACCAGGCCUGGGAUCCCUAAGGUACAUAUUGUGUGUAUUUAUUUUUCACUACUUUUAUUAAGUAAUUUUCCUGGCUUCAGAAUUACAUUGGUAUACUCAGUACUGUUAUAGCAAGAAAUGCUUACGCUGGCAGGCAACUUUUCAGUUUGUUCCUUGACACUACCACCAUCUCUGCAUUCAUGUAUAAGGGCAGUGAGGAAGUCUGUUUUAUUUCUGUACUAUGAACCUGGCAAAAAGCCAUCUCAUCUGUGGUGGCAGGGCUAGGAAAAUAGUAAUAUAGAUAAGAAUAUGAAAGAGCUGCAGCUCUUACAUUGCUGUUAAACCCAGUUUGUGUGGUAGAUAAACAUUACAAAUGCACCUGGAAAGAGGCACAGUUAAAAGUUGUGACCUUUUGAAAAGCAGCAGAAGGUAUGGCCUUGUGAGUAUCAGGUAAAGAGAAGCUCUAUAUCAUCCUUAACAGGGCACGCAGAACUCCUGUUCUGAGCAGUUACUAGAUAGGCUUACAGCAUAUGUCAAUAUCCAUACAGCAGUAUGUUACGAUGCAUUUUCUUUAGACCUAAGGUAGAUGUAAUUUCCAUUUGUACUGGAGGAACAAAAAAGAUACAUUGAUAGAUCUCUUUAGGUUCAGCACCAUCUAGUGUGAGAUCUUAGGCUGCAUUCUGACUGAUAUAAACAAAAGGUGGUUUUGAUAGUUAGGCAUUAUCUCUUUUCUCCUAAAAAGUAGUUUAUUAUUACAUUUAAUGCUGUAAUUUUACUACAUUGACCACUGAUACUUUUUGGUAAUGAUUCUGGGAAAGACUGGAAUGUAAUUUUCCUGGAUUUUGUUAUUAUCUGUUUGGUUUUGGUUUUUAAUAACUUUCUGUGUUUGUAUCGCUUCAACAUUGGUAAAUCCAACAAGGCAAAAAUAAUUGCAAGAAUUUUUAUCUCACAGAACACCCUUAAAAAAGAGAUAAAACCUUGUCAUUUUGCUCAGGUCCCCACAGGGCAUAGAGUGGAUGGGUUGUGUGGUAAUAAUGGAGACUAAAGGACUGAAGUGUCUGCAGAGCCUUUCUACUUCCUGGCCCCACUCCAAGGUCUCCACUGCCAACAGUGUACAAUUGAAGGCCUUUUUUUCUUUCUUCCACAAUGUUUCUGCAUCUGGUACAUCUCAGCAGUACAUUCAUGCCCCAUUUUUAAUACCAGCUGCCCACAACUGAGCCCCAGUCUCAUCAUCACAUGCCACAUCAAGAUUUCGUCAUGACCUUUAUGGCAACCCUUGUGUUCCUGCACUCCUCCUGAGUGAUAUCUCCUGCCAUAGCAUUAGAUCCUCAGGGAGGAGCUGUCCUAAGCUGUAACCAUUCUGCUCUCCUGCCAUGAAUAAAAAAUAACAAUAGUGGAUUGCAGAAUGCAUGGUAUGAAGGACAUGUUUGCCAAGAACUGAGGCUUGAUCCAUGCGAUCCUAAAAAGAAUGGUUCACUGUAUUUAGCACAUUGCUCCGAGUGAUUAAUCCAGGCAAAAAAAACAGAGGGAAAAAAAAUUGUAUUGUUUUUCUUUUUUAAGGCACAUGAAUAUUUUUUUAAAGUAAGUUUUAAUUUUGCAGAAGCCCAAAGCCUUGGAAUUGAAUUGUCUACUUUUUACUAGCCCUUUGAUGACUUGUGGUCAGUAAUGGAAAAAACAACAUAAUAUAGUGUACUACUGUAUCAAACAUAUUUGCUCAAUAAUCUUCAGUAUCCAGGAGCUUAUCAGAAGCCUUGUAUCUGGUACAGGCAGCUCUGGGUACAGCCUGGUGUUUCUCAUUGGAGCAGUAUAGAGUCCAGCCAUACAUGUUCAGAGAGCUGCAAACAGACAGAUUUUCAUACAUUUUUAUUGCCAAACUUCUAUCUUAAGAUCUGGUUUAUCUCUUCAGUAUGGAGUAGCUCUACCAGGAGGCUACUUAGAGAACAGAAUUGCUAGGCUCAGGCCCAUUUAACACUAAAAUUGCUUUCAGAAGGAAAAAGCAGGGCCACUGAAUUAGCAACUAAAUUUAAAACAGAUUCUAAAGUACAUCCUCAGGUAAUAUUAUACACAUCUUUCCUAUGUAUGUACGUAUGUAUGUACAUAUGUGUGAUGUCUGAGAAAGUAUGAGUUAGCGAUAAUUUGUGCAGAGACAGCCAGACUUUCAUGAACCAUGGAGCCAAAUAAAACAUGAAUACUUUCCAAAAGAAAACACUGUAGCUAAGUCUCAAAGGUAAAUAAAAUCUGUCUAGAUUAAUUUAACAUCUGUAGGUAUCUUUCUAAAUGAAAACAUCAUAAGCAUAAUAUAUAUACCAGCUGUAAAACAUCUAUUUCUGGAGUGAAAAAGGUCAAUAUAAGAGAGAGGGGGAAGAAAAGGUUUGGUUGUUCCAACUGUGCACUUCUAGGAACUACAAUUUUUAAAAAAUCAGUAUCGUAUUAAUCUUUUUAUUUUUAAUCAGAGAUUAAAUGAGUUUAGAUUAAGGACACUUUGAUUUGGCUCAAACCUUUUAAAAAUGGGUAACUCAAUUUUAUUGCUUAAUCAUAUGUAUUUUUCUGUAUGUAGUUCAGAGGAUUCAUCAGGGAUAAUGACUGAUUCAGGUCUUUGACUUUUCUGCAGCUAGUUGCAAAUGAAAGCUGUUAAGAUAUCUCAGAAUCUUAAGCUAAAAGUAUAGACAGAGAGCACUCUACAGAACUGAACGGUGUGAGAUUUUUACCCCAAGAAUUGGCAUGGUUGCUCAGGUAAACAGGAGCAACAAUUCUGAUAUAAUUAUGUUGGUAGAAGUGAAUUAAAAACAAGUGUCAAAAAAAAAGAAAGUUUGCAGAAUAAAUAGGGUUUUAAGGACUGAUACAAAUAUGACAGGAAAGGAGAGUGGGAGGCUUGCUAAGGUGAAAACUGCCCCAGUCGAGGAGCUUAGAGAAGGCAGGGAGAAAAGAGGAAUAACUAACCUUGUUCAUAUGGAAAAUCAAACCACCCACCAGUGAUUUCAGCCACUCCUUGAUCUACUUUUAAACAUCCCAAUGAGUGGCCUUUGCCACCUUCCUCCCAGGUGUGGUUUAACAAACAACUGAACUGAUGUAACAAUGUAGAGCCACGACAGGGAAGAUCCAGCCUCCUCCUGUCCUGGCUGAGGCCAUCUCCUCUCCUGUGGGCCUGCUCUGCUGUCUGCUGCCUCCUGGAUGAGUCAGCCCAACUCAUGCACCUACAGAAAAUUAUCUGGUCUUCUUCCCACCUUAACAAGUGAAAAUUUGACUAGGAUUAACCAAAAUUUUACUCAUUUGGUUAAUCCUAGUCAAAUUUUUACUUCCUCAGAGGUCUGAAAAAUACUAGAGCCCGAAGAAGAUAAAUGGCAGAGAUAUGGGCCUGAAAGAAGGGUAGGAGGGAAUGGAAUUCUCUGUUUUCAACACUGCUGAGUCGCAACAUCAACAUUAUCCUAAAGGACUACUCUGUUGCCAUAACAGCCAUAAAGUACAGCUCUGGAGCCUGAGCACCUUGCCCUGAGAAGCUCUGCUCAAGCAGGGGUGGGACCUGGUGGCCACCGCCAGAGUGUCCUGCCAGCCUCAGCCAUGCUGUGAUCCUGUCACUCAUUCUCCAUUCUUAAAAUUGAACUAUGGCAUUACCCUUCAAAAUAAGAUGUGUUUUCACUUUGUAUUGUAAUUAGAGUUUUCUUGGAUUAAAAAAAAAAAAAAAAAGGCCUCUGGUUUAUUUACAGCAAAGUUUUUGUCUUAGAGCACAGUGAUAAGUAAUAGCUAAUCUAACUGUAAAAUCUCAAGUGGAGAGACAGCACCUGUAAUUCUACUACCAACCAAUUAGGUGAUGUCAACACCCUCAAACCCUUGAUUAUUCUUAGCCUCAUUUACCCCAAGAUAAAAUUGCAGUGCCUUGACUUCACCCUAUUUUUCCAGUGGUGCAGGGUGCUCAUUGCAAGUAUGUUGCAGCAAAGGCUUUUCUUUUUUCCUUUUGAUGACAAACCUGCUGACAUGUAUGAGAGUGACAGGGAGCAUUAUUUUUUACAUAGCUUCAACAGGUUAACUCCUAGAAUGUAAACAUUUCGAGAGUAGACAUAGAGGGUAUGUAUACAGAUGAAAUUAUUUUCUUUCUAGAGUAAGUGGAAAUAAAGGUAUAUUGAGCAAGCUGAUACAUUUGAAAAUCCUAGCCUGGACAUUAAACAAAUAUAUGAAAUAUUACACCCCAGGAUCAACAGCAAAUAUUUUGAGUUCUUUAGCAAAUAUUUGCAGACAUACAUGCAGAUGGAUUGAGUAAUCAAAGAAACUGCAGUUGGGUAGCAUGAUUUAAAACAGAUGCAAAAUCUGUGUGAAGUCUCUAAACACUCUUGUACCAUGCUUUUUGUACUUAGGUUCUUGUGGAACAGCACUUAGUCAUUUUGUAUGCCCUGUUCCUGGUGCUUCCAGUGGCUUGAAAACCUUUGGGCUCUCCAGCUAUGUUUGUCAAAAGACAGAAUCCCAACAAGAGGUACAUGCGAACCCUGUAAGCAGUGGGUAGCUGGUAGGAGAGCAGCUUUGGAAUAUUUGCUGCCUUGCUUUCAAACAGGAAGUAUUUUAUCUGCAAGUUCCUUGAGCCAAAUGCAGCAGCAAGUUGAGUGUUACCUCAAGCCAUGAAGUAAAAAGGGAUAGAGGGAGAUAAUUACAUUGAUACAAGUAAAAAUAAUAAUUUAAAAAAUGGGGAAGCUCUAUAAAACAAUUCAGUUAAAAACUGAACAUUUAGGGAUACCCAUAUACUGAAAAGCAGACUAGAAAGGCCUGUUGCUCACUGAAUGUCCUUCUGUUGCUUUUUAAAAUUACAUAUCCACAUUUUUAUUCUGGCUCUCCCUUUAUUUUGAGCAAAGUGACCUGAGAAAAGAAGAUUUCUUUGUGUAUUUUUUUUUAACUGGCAAGAUGUUAACAUAGGGAUUAUUAUGAGAAAAAAUGUUCAGAAGAUAGGCUGAAUAUUGCAAAUAUUAUAGAAAAGCUUUGGAAAACAUGCUAGAUUUACAUCCAGCUCUGAACGAAACAAUUUUUAUGUCUUGCAGGCUUACUAUCAGCUUAUUUACAUGUGUUUCCCAGAAGCAAAGGAAGCAUUUCAGAAACAGUUUCACUAAAGAGAAACAAGUCUAUCUGCACAAGGAUCUGUCAUGUGGGAUUUUAUUUACUUCUCUUCCUUUGCUAACCUCAGACUUAAGUGCGUCAUGGUAUUUUUACUGCCAUCCAUUCCAUAGGCUUUAGCACACUCCUCCAGUUAAUUAUUAACAAAGUCCAAAGGUAUCCACCCCUCUCCUACACAGAUAUUCCAGCGAAACACGGCUCCAUAAGAUCUUCUUACUUAAAAUUGCUCAUUACAGUUUGGACAAAUACAGUGUUAAGUAGCUGAUGCUUUGGUGUUGGUGAAAUUCUUUCUUUCCCCAGUUCCUGAAGUUCAUCGGGUUUGAAUGUCACGGUUCCUGCUGCUGCUUGCAUAUCCAAACAAAGGGGACCUGCAACACCCCUGAAGACAUUUGCUGGCUCUGCUCUUCUUCAUCCAGUUGAGAAUCACCUUUUUUUUUCAGGAUUCCCUGUAGCUACCUUCUAAGAAAAAUGACCUCUUUUCUCUUUCCUGAUUCUUCAGCUCACUUACUGCUGUCAUCCCCUCUGUUUCUUCGGCUAGGCCUGGCUGUAAUUUGGCGCCAGGCAGGUACCAGAGGUACUGCAGAUGGAAGGAAUCAGCCAGUGCUUCUUCAUCACACCACACAGCAUCUCUAGUACAUGGGGUGUGUGCCAGGAAUUAGAUCAGGAAAUUAUUUUUAUUUCCUGCAAGCUUUUAAAAAUUAUUUUUCAGCUGAACAGGUCUCCUGAUCAGGUUCACAGAAUGGCCCUAAAAAUUGCUUGUAGUGAGGGAACAGUGAGAACUCAGUGCUGAGAUGUUCCUGAGUCUGCAGUAUCAGGAAACUACAGGCUUUCUGCUGCUCGCCUCAGAUGAGCUGGCCCUGAAUGUCUAGCAAGAAAUAAGCUUGGUGAUAUGUCCUGGCACAGUAAAUCUGCAUGCAUUUUUGAAUCUCAUCUGGCCUCUUCUGCAAAACAAGAUGUCUUGUUUGGAAAUUGUUUUGUCAAACGUUUGAAACAGUUUUGGAAGUACUGUCUUGCUUUCAAAAACCUGCUAUGAUUUUCACAUGACAAAGGAAACCAGUUUAAAGAACAGUGAGAAAUACCUCAGUGAGGAUAUGGUCAAUUGAAGUGUGAAGGAAAAAGCAGUGCCUGAAGAGGAUCAGCCCAAAUACAGGCUUCUUUUGCUUAAAAAACUGAUUUGUAGAUAAGUAACAGUUGAGUAAAGAGCCCAAAAGUGAAAUAUUGAUUGUUCCUCAUAAAGGGUUGUUCUAGCAUAUGCUCAAAGUAUCAGUCAUGAAUGCUGGAAAAGAUGAGUGUAGCACAGUGAGCGUUAGUCAUGGCCUGGAAAACAGGGUAGGAAAACAAUUUAAGCAGAAUAGUUACUCAGCUAAUUGCUUUGAGUAAGUAUCAGGUUUACACACCCUGCAACCCAAGCUUAAAAUUUGUACUUGAUACAAUGUACUUGAAAACCUACACUGACAAAAAUAUCUUGCUCUUUCUCCAGGGAGGUGGGGAGAAAAUAAAAUUAGGGGCUCUCUAAAACUGUAUUUAGGGUAGCAAAAGCAACUAGAAAAAUAAACCACUUGCUUUAAGGCUCUUGGAGUAGUGAAAAUGGUGGUUAGAUGAGCUCUGGAAAAUGCUCUGGAGCAGAUAUAAAGUCCUAGUAACACCCAGUGUGUUUUCAACCUGCUCUCUCCGUGUGCUGCCACUCUCAAAGCAGCAUGCAACCUGUACUUUCCCUUUAAUUACCUCAGUUUAUUAAAAAAAAAAAAGGUCAAACCAGGUCCUUAGCUUUAAAUUCACCUUCAAAAGCAGCUUAAGUCAAGUCACUGAACUUUGCAGCAAAACAAAUAUAAGUGCACAUGAUUCAUGCUGACUCUCCUUGGGUGCUCCAGCAAUAACAUAACUUUUAAAAUCACUGCAUUUGCUUGCUAAAUUAAUGCACUUACACCUUUGGUGCAUGAAGAACAUGGUCUGAGGUGCAACCCCUAGUAUGGAGACAAACAUAAUUUCCAAUUUUAGGUUUGAUUUCUGUGUCUGGACUAAAUUAUUUGCAAAGAGCCAAGAUCACAGGAAGCUGACAUAUACAUGGUAAUUCCUUCCUAAACUCUUCAUAAUAAAUGAGAAAAGGCACAUAAACCACUGAAGCUUAGAUUAAGGCUAUAACUUAAGCCAGACAAGAAUAAAUAAGUAUUGGAGAAUUUACCAGCUGUGGUGUGUGCUAAUCUAGGCAUGCAAGGACAUAUGCACGCACUGCAAGGGUAUUUAAAUGGACACAGUACAAGUCUUAAAGAGAACCAACCAUAAGCUGCUAACUGUAUUAAGAAACAAGAUCCACCAUGCAUUCUUUCUUGCAUCUGUUGUGCUGUCUUGAUUUUCAGGGAAAUGAUGGAUUUUAGCAUGAUUAUUAAAGGACAGUAGGCAGAGCACAGGGCAUUAGAGGUACUAGAGAAAAGAAGUGUUGGUUGUUCAAAGCAGCCAUCAGAAAGGGGUACAGAGCUGUUGCACGUACUAACGAGGCUUGAGAGGGACAGUAAAGGAUAGCUUUAACUGGAGAGUGGGAAGAAUGAAGGCCAAAAAAAGAUGUUGCAAAAGUAAAUAAUGAAUAAGACAUGAAUCACAGUUAUGGUGGUGUUGACAGAGAGGUUUUAAAGAUGUCGCCCAAGAGGAGAACCUCAGAGUGACAAAUGAAACACAAAAUAUGAAAUGCAGACUGGGGAAAAAGAGGCAGCAGAGAAUUUGCUGAGCCAACAGGGCAAAAGCAGGGAAUUGAGAGGCCUGGAUAGGAGAAAUUCUGUCUUUUAAGCAAGAAACAUUUAAAUAGUAUUCAAUCUGCUAAACCCUGAUGAAUCUGGUAAUAGAGUGCCAAGUGAAACCAAAAUGUAGAGGAAAGGAAUCUUACACUGGAGGAAAAGGGGUUUGGAUAAGAGGUAGAGUGUAUUUAGGAAGGAACCAAACAUAUGAUUGUUAAGAGUAAUUGCUUGCUCCUGUAAACCAUUUUCAAGGUAAUACUUUUCCCUAUGGUUGCUUGACAUGUUACAGAAGGGUCAAGAGUGGGCUCACCCUUCGGAAGAUCUUAAACAGGGCUUGUUUUCCCUUUCAUUUACCCUUAAUGUAUGAAUCCUCUGUUACUGUAAGAAAGGUGUUUGCUCACCAACACAGUUUUUCUUAAAAAAAAAAAAAAAGAAUUAUUAAAAUGAAGAAAUGAAUGAGUUACAAUAAUAAUGUUGGGAGAACUAUCACAUUAAGCAAAAGGUAAAUUCACAAUUCUCAUCACAGUUGCCAAUAACAAUUACCAUUCAAUAGCAAUUAUGAAAGCAUCAGUAUGAAAAGGAUAUUGUUUGUUAGAGAAAUUCUAAACACUUUGGGCUAAGAAGGAUUAAGUGGUAAGUUUUGAGCAGCAGCAUCUUAUAUGCAACUGUAUGUAUUCUUUUGGAGACAAGAAGAGAUGUACUGACUUCUGGAAUGUUUGGUCCUGAUGUUCUGACAAAUAAUGAAAUAUUUCAGUAGUAAGUAAGGAGUAAUGAGUAAAUUCACUUUCAAAUAUAGAUAGAAAUUAUCUUAGAAAUUACUAUCUAGGUCCUCAGCUUACAUCAAGUGGAACAGCACCUUAAACAUCUGUAAUGAAAAUUAAAUAAUUUAAUCUCUUAUUUUGUAGGAAAAUUAAACCUUAUCUUAGGCUACAAAAUAAUCCAGUGUCUAGAGAGUUUUGUGGAAAAUUGGGCUUGUGUAAACCUGUAACCUGCUCCCUGGUUCUGUCCAGGACUUGUCAUAUUAAAAUGAUGCAAGUGUGCUUGAGAUGAUUUAUCUUAGAACGUGUUCAUUUACCACUCUUAGAAGUUUGUUAUAGCUCAGAGACCUGCAUCUAAAGCCAACCAGCCCUCAAAGACAGCCUGCCCUAAAACAACAGUCAAUCCCAGCAUGGACCUUUCUGUGUAACUGCUGCACUGGGACGUGGUUUCAGAAAGAAAGUGAUAACCACAACAAUUAUGAGGAUAAUCAAGAAAUGCAGUAUUCAUGAAGCAGUCAAGGAGCAGUAAUGAGGGGGGGAAAGGCUGACUCCUUUAUGAAACCACAGCAUUUGUGUUUUGGGUUACCUUGAGAAGAUUUAAGAGAUUAAAGAAACAAAAGUCUUUCACAAA